GACGAACAUUGAGAAUAUUCACGUGUAAUAUCGCACCACUGAGAAUAAUAUCAACAAUGCAAUGAGAUACUGACAGAUGGUGGAACGAAGAGGUGUGUAUGAAGAAUGGGUUGCCAUCGUUCGCCUGAUUUCCUAUCCUCAUCCUAAAGGAAGGCUCCUGGAGUUUACGCAAACGAGACGGCUGGGUUAUAAUAAAGUAGCGAAACCUGCCUAUAACGACAACAUGUUUAGCUACAAAUGAAAUUUUUAUCAAUCAGAACAGUGUUUUGGUAUAAAGGUCAACAGAGGAUUCCUAGAACAUCAUUCUUUAACUACACCAGUUGCUUCCUGGUGUUGCUUGUUUACCUGCCUUAAUCAUCGACUGACAGUACGAAAUGCGCGGCAAUUAACCAUGGCAUUUUGACGUUCAUCGAAACAGACUUUGUAACAACAAGUUCUUCAUUGUGUUAUGAUGUUAACUUGUAUGUAUAGAAAGCGAAACAGCUCCUGAACAUUCUAAAAAGGUGAAUCACUGAAAUUUAUCAGCUUGUUGUACAAGUAGGCCAAGAUUAUAUUGGAAACGUUGUUUCGUAUCUAUUUUAUCACCGCACUUUUAGUCCGACAUUGAUUCAGCUGUGAUGAAACUUUGGCAUUCCUAAACUUUGGCAUUCAUAUAAACUUUGGCAAUCAACCAGAAAAUGGUCUAUGAUGACCUACUGCCAAAGUGAAUGUUUACCAUCUUUUCACAAGAAGGUUACAUUUCACUGUCAUGAGAUAUUGUGUACACGGACGCAUUUAACAUUUGGCAUUUUUCUGCAACAAUUUCUACAAAAAAUUAGUUAGUGUAAAAUGACCCUCACAACUUCUAUCUAAUUACAUCAAAAGGAACUUCUAAAGCAUUACUGCUCUCUUAACGAGGUUUUCCACUCUCAGCAACGACAUACCUGGCCAUAAUUACCAAAUCCAUUUGUUAUGUAGAAAGAAAAGUGUCCCUUGGAGAAUUACCGUAUACGCGAACCUUUGAUCCUUGGUUGGUGACCUUGUAGUGUUGUGCUGAAAGAAGGGAUUAAGCCAU